rnacentral:rRNA from 1 species
GAGUUUGAUCAUGGCUCAGGAUGAACGCUGGCGGCGUGCUUAACACAUGCAAGUCGAACGAACCUUCGGGUUAGUGGCGGACGGGUGAGUAACGCGUGGGAAUCUGCCCUCAGGAGGGGGAUAACGGUUGGAAACGACCGCUAAUACCCCAUAUGCCGAGAGGUGAAAUGAAUUUCGCCUGAGGAUGAGCCCGCGUCUGAUUAGCUUGUUGGUGAGGUAAUGGCUCACCAAGGCAUCGAUCAGUAGCUGGUCUGAGAGGAUGAUCAGCCACACUGGGACUGAGACACGGCCCAGACUCCUACGGGAGGCAGCAGUGGGGAAUUUUCCGCAAUGGGCGAAAGCCUGACGGAGCAACGCCGCGUGAGGGACGAAGGCCUCUGGGCUGUAAACCUCUUUUCUCAAGGAAGAAGAUAUGACGGUACUUGAGGAAUAAGCCACGGCUAAUUCCGUGCCAGCAGCCGCGGUAAUACGGGAGUGGCAAGCGUUAUCCGGAAUUAUUGGGCGUAAAGCGUCCGCAGGCGGCCCUUCAAGUCUGCUGUUAAAACGUGGAGCUUAACUCCAUCAUGGCAGUGGAAACUGAUUGGCUUGAGUAUGGUAGGGGCAGAGGGAAUUCCCGGUGUAGCGGUGAAAUGCGUAGAUAUCGGGAAGAACACCAGUGGCGAAGGCGCUCUGCUGGGCCAUUACUGACGCUCAUGGACGAAAGCCAGGGGAGCGAAAGGGAUUAGAUACCCCUGUAGUCCUGGCCAUAAACGAUGAACACUAGGUGUCGGGGGAAUCGACCCCUUCGGUGUCGUAGCUAACGCGUUAAGUGUUCCGCCUGGGGAGUACGCACGCAAGUGUGAAACUCAAAGGAAUUGACGGGGGCCCGCACAAGCGGUGGAGUAUGUGGUUUAAUUCGAUGCAACGCGAAGAACCUUACCAGGGCUUGACAUACUGCAAAUUUUCUUGAAAGAGAAAAGUGCCUUCGGGAAUGCAGAUACAGGUGGUGCAUGGCUGUCGUCAGCUCGUGUCGUGAGAUGUUGGGUUAAGUCCCGCAACGAGCGCAACCCUCGUUUUUAGUUGCCAUUUUAUGGGUUCUCUAGAAAGACUGCCGGUGACAAACCGGAGGAAGGUGGGGAUGACGUCAAGUCAGCAUGCCCCUUAUGCCCUGGGCUACACACGUGCUACAAUGGCUAAGACAAAGAGUCGCGAAUUCGCGAGAAUCAGCUAAUCUCAUAAACUUAGUCUAAGUUCAGAUUGUAGGCUGCAACUCGCCUACAUGAAGUUGGAAUCGCUAGUAAUCGCUGGUCAGCCAUACAGCGGUGAAUCCGUUCCCGGGCCUUGUACACACCGCCCGUCACACCAUGGGAGCUGGUCAUGCCCGAAACCGUUUGCUUAACCUUUUGGAGAGCGACGUCUAAGGUAGGGCUAGUGACUGGGGUGAAGUCGUAACAAGGUAACC